GGCGAGUGAAGUGGGAAAAGCUCAACUUUGAAAUCUGGCAGCUUCGCUGUCCGAGUUGUAGUCUCGAGAAGUGUUUUCCGCGCUGGAACAUGUAUGAGUCUGUUGGAACACAGCGUCAUAGAGGGUGAGAACCCCGUUCAUGACAUGCCUCCCAGUGCUUUGUGAUACACUUUCGAUGAGUCGAGUUGUUUGGGAAUGCAGCUCAAAUUGGGUGGUAAAUUCCAUCUAAAGCUAAAUAUUGGGGAGAGACCGAUAGCAAACAAGUACCGUGAGGGAAAGAUGAAAAGCACUUUGGAAAGAGAGUUAAAAGUACGUGAAAUUGUUGAAAGGGAAACGCUUGAAGUCAGACGUGCGCAGCUUCGGCUAAUGCAGGCUAGCAUCGGUUUUGCGAGUCGGAUAAAGGUAAGAGGAAGGUGGCAGCUUCGGCUGUGUUAUAGCCUCUUACUGAAUACGAAUUGCGAGACCGAGGAAUGCAGCGCGCCGCAAGGCAAAGGGUUCGCCCUUCGCGCUAGGAUGCUGUAA
rnacentral:rRNA from 1 species